AGUAUAGCCGAGGGACAGAAUGUCUCAGUAAGACGGGCUCGGAGGGGAAGUGUUUUGGAAAGGCCUCUGCUUGCUCUGGGAGGCGUUCAGGAUGCUGAGGUUUUGGAAAUCUAUGGCGGCUCUUCACAACUGCUCCCAGCUUUGGGAGGAGGAAUAGACGGGUGCUCGUUUCCUCGGGUUCAGUGGCAAAGGUGAAGACCAGCACUGCCGACCUGGGACCUGGGCCUCUCCCGGGCCUGGGGAGGACACUGGACUUUGAAGGGGAAUGCAGCCUAGAAGGCCUGGACCCUGGAGUCAGGAGAUGCUGCUCCCAUCCAGUAAGCCCUGGCUGGAGCUCUUCUGGGCACCAACCCUGGCAUAAAACCAGUGGGGCCUCUGGGCCUGCACUCAACAGUGCCUCUGAUGGAGCAGGUUCAGCUUGGUUGUGACCUCUGCUAGAAGCCCUCCCUGGCCUCCCUGUGCACUGAGCUGGUGGUUCCUCCUUUGCGCCCCAGGUACAUGCUCAGAUCUGUGUACCCUACACUUUGUCCUCCAGCUUCGUGUUUGGAUGUUCACAACUCCCAUGAGAAGGGCCCCCGAGAGCUGGCACAGUGCAUGUGUUUCCUCUCCAGACUUCUACAAACCUGGCACAUAAUUGUUUGCUGAAAGAUGGCAUGUUCCUAAAACAGAGGAAGUAGAACCGAAUAAAGCGAAAUCCAACUUCCCAAAAAAA
rnacentral:lncRNA from 1 species